GAUGAAGAACGUAGCGAAAUGCGAUAAGUAAUGUGAAUUGCAGAAUUCAGUGAAUCAUCGAAUCUUUGAACGCACAUUGCGCCCCUUGGUAUUCCGAGGGGCAUGCCUAUUCGAGCGUCAUUAUCACCCCUCAAGCCUAGCUUGGUGUUGAGGCCUGCUGUCAAGGCAGCCUCUAAAAUCAGUGGCAGUGCUGUCAGGCUCUAAGCGUAGUAAAUCUAAUCGCUAUAGACACCUGGUGGACACUCGCCAGAACCCCCCCCAUUUUUUAAUGAUUGACCUCGGAUUAGGUAGGGAUACCCGCUGAACUUAAGCAUAUCAAAAGCGGAGGA
rnacentral:misc_RNA from 1 species